rnacentral:rRNA from 1 species
CAAUAGCGUAUAUUAAAGUUGUUGCAGUUAAAAAGCUCGUAGUUGGAUUUCAGUCUUAGCGCUCCUGGCCCGCGCCCUUGAGGCGCCGAGUGCCGGAUGAGCGCUGGACUUCCUUCUGGCAAGGAUCUUCUACCCCUAUGGGGCCGGGAGUGACUUCUGGAUCAUUUACUUUGAAGAAAUUAGAGUGUUCAAAGCAAGCUUACGCUGUGAAUAUAUUAGCAUGGAAUAAUAACAUAGGACUCGGGUUCUAUUUUGUUGGUUUCUAGGACUCAAGUAAUGAUUGAUAGGGACAGUUGGGGGUGCUGCUAUUAUAUGGCCAGAGGUGAAAUUCACGGAUUCAUAUAAGAGCAACUUAUGCGAAAGCAUUCACCAAGGAUGUCUUCUUUAAUCAAGAACGAAAGUUGGGGGAUCGAAGAUGAUUAGAUACCGU